GACGAACGCUGGCGGCGUGCCUAAUACAUGCAAGUCGAACGCAGUGGGGACGGGUGAGUAACACGUGGGUAACCUCCCAUCAGAGGGGAUAACACUUGGAAACCGGUGCUAAACCGAUACUGAUGGAUGGACCCGCGGUGCAUUAGCUAGUUGGUGAGGUAACGGCUCACCACGGCCACGAUGCAUAGACGAGCUGAGAGUGGGAUCGGCAACACUGGUCCUGAGACACGGCCAAGACUCCUACGUGAGGCAGCAGUAGGGAAUCUUCGGAAAUGGACAAAAGUCUGACCGAGCAACGCCGCGUGAGUGAAGAAGGUUUUCGGAUCGUAAAACUCUGUUGUUAGAGAAGCGGUAUCUAACCAGAAAGCCACGGCUAACUACGUGCCAGCAGCCGCGGUAAUUC
rnacentral:rRNA from 1 species